rnacentral:rRNA from 1 species
UACGAAGGGGGGCUAGCGUUGCUCGGAAUCACUGGGCGUAAAGGGUGCGUAGGCGGGUCUUUAAGUCAGGGGUGAAAUCCUGGAGCUCAACUCCAGAACUGCCUUUGAUACUGAAGAUCUUGAGUUCGGGAGAGGUGAGUGGAACUGCGAGUGUAGAGGUGAAAUUCGUAGAUAUUCGCAAGAACACCAGUGGCGAAAGGCGGCUCACUGGCCCGGAUACUGACGCUGAGGCACGAAAGCGUG